UACGUAGGGGGCUAGCGUUGUCCGGAAUCAUUGGGCGUAAAGCGCGUGUAGGCGGUCCGGUAAGUCCGCUGUGAAAGUCGGGGGCUCAACCCUCGAAUGCCGGUGGAUACUGUCGGGCUAGAGUGCGGAAGAGGCGAGUGGAAUUCCUGGUGUAGCGGUGAAAUGCGCAGAUAUCAGGAGGAACACCGGUGGCGAAGGCGGUUACCUGGAGCUUUGCUGACGCUGAUGCGCGAAAGCGUGGGGAGCGAUCCGG
rnacentral:rRNA from 1 species